AUCGCUUCUCGGCCUUUUGGCUAAGAUCAAGUGAAGCACACUGUCUUGUAUUUAUAUGGAUUUCUGUAAUAGGAAACACUAAUCUAUUAUAAUAAAGAAGGAAAGUAUACUUAUGUUUGCACUAUAUUUACACAUGUGAUGCUGUCUGAUG
rnacentral:snRNA from 1 species